UUCUCUGUAUUUCCCUUUGCAGGUUGAAUACUUGACGAAGAAGAUGAGCUUGCGCAUAGGUCGCUAUCUUGUUGCAACAAUCAUGGUUGUCGCGACAAGAUGUUAGUGGCAAUUCAACAUGAAGGAAGGGGAAGAUGUUCAUGGUGGUGUUUUUGGGUGGUUGCUGGACAGAGAAGAUGAAUAGUGGUGGUGGUGGUGAUGGUUUCGAAAUAUCUGAUGAUGGAGGCGAGAAGAUGGUGGCUGGCCGAGAGCAUGGUGGCGGUGGUUAGGGUUAGGUUAGGUGGUGGCUAGGGUUUCUGUGUAGGGGGAAAAUAGGGUUUCUAAAGGUAGGAGAUGAUGAUGACGUGACAAGAGUGAUAUGUCACUGAUUGCACAUCUGCACAUUUAGUCAUUAAUGAUUUAAACGGUAUUUGCAAAAAGGACUAAAUUGAACAUAAAUUACGAUCUUUAGAACUCCAUUGAACAACAAAAAUAAAAUAAAAUUGGGUCCAUUUCGAAUAUUCCCAACCAAAAUUGGGACCAAUAAUAGUAUUAAGCCUAUAUAUAACUUUACACAUUACAAC
rnacentral:lncRNA from 1 species